UACGUAGGGUGCGAGCGUUAAUCGGAAUUACUGGGCGUAAAGCGUGCGCAGGCGGUUGUGUAAGACAGGUGUGAAAUCCCCGGGCUUAACCUGGGAACUGCGCUUGUGACUGCACGACUGGAGUGUGGCAGAGGGGGGUGGAAUUCCACGUGUAGCAGUGAAAUGCGUAGAGAUGUGGAGGAACACCGAUGGCGAAGGCAGCCCCCUGGGUUGACACUGACGCUCAUGCACGAAAGCGUGGGUAGCAAACAGGAUUAGAUACCCGCGUAGUCC
rnacentral:rRNA from 1 species